rnacentral:lncRNA from 1 species
CGACCGGCAGGCAGAACUGACCCGGGCCAAGGCAAACGGGCCGGACCCUCCAGGCGUACAGACAUCCCCGUCCCUGACUGCACACUGAUGACCCAAGACCCAGGCCCAGGCGCCUCAGGCUGCACCGAGGUUGGCAAGGGGCUGUGCCACCCAGAGGUCCUGAGCGGGGGUCUCCUCUGCCCCUCACAGCCCUGGCCGGCAGCCCCGGGGGCCCGCCUGGCCCAUGUUGAGGCUGCCGGUUGCCAGGAUUCGAUGUGGGUUUGUCUGCCUUCCCCAGCCCAUGCCAACCCGCCCAGCAGGCCCCACUGCCUUGGUGACGCAUCACAGAGUCCACACAAAGGGAGGCUGCACUGCCUGCUGGGAGGCUGGUGCUGCCUGGUGUCUCCAUGGCGACGCUGACAUCACGGGGCCGGCUGCAGUAGGGCCCCAGGGGAGGCUCCCAGUGUUCUGGGGAGGAGGCCGGGUGGGUGGGCCUGCCUGCCCUGGGUCUGGGGGGGUCCUGACCCUGCCUGUCCCCACCUUGCCCAGGGCCCGUCUGAGACGCUGUCUCCUGACCCAUAACAGAGAGGGCAGUCUUCACCCGGGACUGACUGUGAUCAUGGAUAAGAUACAGGGAGGGCUGUCGUGAAGACCAUUCUGGUGACUUCCAGGGAAAGGCAGGGGCGGCCUGCACCCCUGGACUGCCUGGGCCUGUGAUACAAAAUCUCACUACGUAGCCCAGGCUGGCCUGGAACUCUCAGUGAUUCUCCCACCUCAGCCUCCUGAAUGCUAAGAUGACAGCUUCCUGGUCCUUGAUGCAGACCAGAAAAAAGGAAGAGGAGGAAGAGAAGGAGGAGGAAGAGGAAGAAGAGAAGGAAGAAGAGGAAGAAGAGAUGGAAGAAGGGGAAAGGAGAUCUGGAGCUGUCUCUUUAAAUCUUUCUAGAAGUCCAACAGAAAUAGAACAUUUAUCUGUGUGAAGGCUACACAGGCUUAACUAAAAAUGUCAAGUUUCUUUGCUGGAAUUUUAACAGGGAACAUGAUAAGUGUACAUUUAUUCAGUAAUGAUCAAUUCCGGGUUCUCUUUUGUAUGAGAUGAAAUGGUGACAUGCUGCUCAGAAGCUCUGCUUGGUUUUGUUUCAUACAAAAUCACCUCUUGAAGUAAUAAUUGCUGGAUGAAUGUUAUCUGAUUGUCCUAAACUCUUGCUCUUCUCUCUGUGUUGUGUGCCCUGGGGAGAGGCUACAAAGAUGGGAUAAUAAAAAAGUAAAAUGUUUGCUUUAAAAAAAAUUUUUUUUUUAAUUUUUUUUUUAGAUAGGGUCAUGGUGGCUCAUGCCUGUAAUCCCAACACUCAGGAGCCUGAGGCAGGAGGAUUGCUGUGACUUCAAGGCUAGGCUGGGCUACAUAGCAAAACCCUGUCCCCAAACAAAACAGGCCAAGGAUUUAACUCAGUGGCACCACACCUGC